ACACCUCAACUCUUCAUGGUUUUCCAUGAUGAGCUUGGACUUUGGGGGACUUGCUGGCCUACGGUCAGCUCCUCUAAAAUAAAUCAGCUUGCCAGUGUUUGGUGGGUAUCGCAGGUGUGAUAACUAUCUACGCUUGUGGUUUUCCACCAAGUAACCUUCAGCAGUGGAGGUUCGCUGGAGCUCACAGAUGUCUCUCCUCAGUGAGGACACAGCCCUUUGAAC
rnacentral:misc_RNA from 1 species